rnacentral:rRNA from 1 species
AUGAAUCACGGGGACCCUGGACACCGCUGUAAGUGUUCCCAUGGACCGCGGUGUGCCGGUGCGCCGCCCCAGGAAGGCCUCGCGGCGGCGGCCCUGGACACCCGUGUGCGGCCCCUCCCCAUGGGCGCCGAGGCGGAGUCCAUGCCGCGGCAGAUCGGCGCGUACACGCCCAACCUCGACGCGCACACGGUGACCCUCCUCUCCUGCGUCCACUCCGUCCUCCCUCCUCCGCCCCUCGUCUCCAACCACGCCGACCUCUCCGCCCUCCUCGCCCCGCCCCAGGACGGCGGCGACGACCGCAUCAGCGACCUCCCCGACAAGCUCCUCCGCGACAUCGUCUCCCGCCUCCCCGUCAAGGACGGCGCGCGCACCGCCGCGCUCUCCUGCCGCUGGCGCGGCGUCUGGCGCUCCGUGCCUCUCGUCCUCGUCGACUCCGACCUCCUCCCCGUCCGAACCGGCUCGAGCCUGCAGGUCGCGCACGCGGACGCGCAGCGCGUCGCCUCCGCCGUCACCCGCAUCCUCGACGCUCACCCGGGCCCCUUCCGCUGCGUUCACCUCAUCUGCACCUUCCUGGACAAGUGCCCGGACCUGCUCGCGCGCUGGCUCCAGCUCCUCGCCGUCAAGGGCGUCCAGGAACUCGUCCUCGUCAAUCGCCCGUGGCCGCUCAACACGCGCAUCCUUCCCACCUUCUUCGCCAUGGCAACCCUCACCCGCCUGUACCUUGGCGUCUUCGAGUUCCCUGACACGAGGAUCCUCCCGCGCGCCGCGUCAUUCCCACACCUCCGCGAACUCGGCCUCUGCUGCGUGCAGAUCCUGAGGAGGGAGGACAUGGACUUCAUCCUCGCCAGGAGCCCUGUGCUGGAAAUCCUAUGCAUCCAAGUGAACAUGCUGAUGAAACACCUACUCCUCGUCAGCCGCAGCCUCCGUUGCGUGCAGGUCAUCGAAAGCAUUGAUCUGAGCAUCGCAGUGAAAGACGCCCCGCAUCUCGAGAGGCUCAUCAUCUGGGCGUGCCCCUGCACUAAGCUUGCUUGGCUAUCUGGACCCGGAACGGCACAGCCUAGAGAUCGGCAACACCGUCAUCAAGGCUGGGACAACGGCGAGUCCGAGCACAAUCGUCCCAAGCGUCAAGAUCCUCGGCAUAAGAGUGUGCUUCGGAGUCCGCAACGUUGCUAA